UCAUUACCAUUCGAGUUUGUGUGAGUGAACCGUGAACAUGACGCUCAGAAUCGUUGUUUUGUUUGUGUUUUUAAUUAGUUUCCAACACUCAAUCGCGGAUUGUCCUCCAGGGGAGUACGACCCUGGUCCCGACUGUGCCUUCGAAGUCAUUUGCCCAGUUCCCGCACAUUCUGCCAGGAGACACUACUGCGACUGCUGGUGCAACCCCGGCACCCUGAGGGACACCAUCACCAACAAAUGUGUUAAAAACGAGGACUGCUCUUAUGUAAACAUGCUUGAUAAGCCUUUAUUUAGGUUAUAAGUGAGUUUCAUCACUAAUUUUAUCAGUUUUUGACACCAUGUUUGGUAGGCCUUGAAUUUACCAUCACCCUGCCAAUCAAAACGGACCCUUGCCUUCUACAAAAUAAACAUAUAACCAUAAAUUUUGAAUAUCAGGACAUCGUAAUUUUGGGAAGCAAAAUUGUGUGUCAUUUGUUUUUAAUGAUCAUGAGUCAAGGUAGUGGUAGUGUUUCAAUGGAAACCUAGCUCAGAUUGACAGGACAAACAGAAUAAGUGAUAGAUACAAAGGACUAGUAAAAGCCAACAAUGUUCUAAGUUAAAGUAGUUAAGGGCACUCUAUGAGAACAGAAGUCAAUUUUGAGCAUUGCUAUGAACUGGGCUUUUGCAUAUUAUUUCCGCUAAUUGGGUCACACAGUCACUUCGUCUGGUCUAAACCGGAGUGAACCAGGAUUAACUACAAAAACAUGUUGGCGUUAUAUCUAGUGUAACUUGGUUAUUUUGUUUUACCAUUGGAUCUACGCUUAGCUGUAGAAGCAUUUGACCUAUUCAAGUUCAAGUUUAAACUUAAUUACCUGUGCCUAAAAAAAGCGAAGAUACGUCACCGAUGUUUUCUUGUUUUUUUCUUAAGUUACAUGCCUGUGAUUAUUAUGGUUAAUAGAGGCAAAAAAUCAAAUUAUUGUAAUUAUUUUUAAUAACAAAUGUUGUUGAUAACUGAGGCUUAGAUAUUUUUUUAUUCAGUCUUGACCCGGACUAACUAACUAUUGUAAAUGUAUGUACCUAUUUUAAGACAAAACCUAGUGUUGAUAAUAUUAUUUAAAUUUUAAACCAA